rnacentral:rRNA from 1 species
GUGGGUAACCUGCCUCAUACAGGGGGAUAACAGUUAGAAAUGACUGCUAAUACCGCAUAAGCGCACAGCAUCGCAUGAUGCAGUGUGAAAAACUCCGGUGGUAUGAGAUGGACCCGCGUCUGAUUAGCUAGUUGGUGAGGUAAAGGCCCACCAAGGCGACGAUCAGUAGCCGACCUGAGAGGGUGAUCGGCCACAUUGGGACUGAGACACGGCCCAAACUCCUACGGGAGGCAGCAUG